CUCAACAACCUUUGCUCGAAGAUACCACACUUCAAGACUUCAACCGAAGGAAUGAAAACGUUCCUUCUUACAACCACAAGGGACUAACACUUCCCUUCAAGUGUAUACAAACACUUAGCACUCAAGACAAGACUCUCUGUAAGAGUAGAUAUGAGUAAAGUAAAUACGCUCAAGAACACAACAACUUUCGUCAAGAGUUUGGCUAUCAAAAACUUAUCAAAUGAAUAGAAAAUGAUGAAUAUGAGAGUAUGCAAGCUUUAGC
rnacentral:lncRNA from 1 species